AUGCCCGGCCUCUCGCUGAAAAAAAAAGGCCACCUGGUGAAUAACUGCCCCGCGCGCUACCGCGGGAAGCCUCUAGAGGGCGCGGCAGUCUCGCUCAAGCGUCGAGGGGCGGGGCUUGUUGCCGUGGCGACCACUCCGUCAACAGCCUCCGCGGCUGUUCCUGUCUCCGUGGCCAUGGAGGACCGCCCCUCGGUUUUUAUCGGGUGCAUUCAAGUAGCAGCCAUUUGUCCACUUGGCCAGCCUAUGAACCAGGGCAAGGAAUCCUUCAGAACCGAAAACCGUGCUCUCUCCCUGGUUGGCAAAGGUAGGUCUGGAUACGGCAUUGAGAUGUCAAGCUUUAAAAAAAACAGCAGGAAAUUUGAGGUUCAAAUAAACACAGCGAUACAAAGAUUU
rnacentral:lncRNA from 1 species